UCUCUCUCUCUCUCUCUCAAUGGCAUCUCUUCUCCAAAAGCUCCUCAAAAGACUUCCCCCCAACCCUCCCCUUCGAAUCCUCGCAUCCUUUGCCAACCCCCAGCUCGCAAAUCCCCCGCUCCAUCCAUCCCUUCUCCACGACCCACUCCCCCGAACCAAUCCGAGCCCGAACCCUUCUUCCUUCCCUUCUCUUCCCGAUGGCUUCCGCCAAUCCCUCCAAUUUUACCCCGGCUUCCCCCAUUGUUUUGAUUUGAAUCCGGUCCCGAUCCGGAUUCGAUCGAUGCGAUGAGGAGAGUGACAGCGAUCCAGGGGUUGGUGAGGAGGGAUGCGAUCGCACGGUGUGGGCCGACAGUGUGAAGAAGAAAAGGAAGAGGAAGAUGAACAAGCACAAGUACAAGAAGCUGCGGAAGAGACUUCGGCGCAAGAAAUCUUGAUCUGGAAAGUGCUGCACGUCUUGAGGAAUAUAAGAAAUCAAUUGAUGGGAAACUUGCUCUCCGUCAUAGUAAUCUGAAUCCUGAAAGGCCUGGUAACUAUGUAGCGAAGCAUGUCAUCUUCAUAAUUUUUCUGUUGUUUUUUGACUGUAUUCUGCUAGAAAGUUAGGGAUUCAAGUUUAGGAUUAGUUACUACUAUUUCAUGAUUGUGUUAGAUGUCAAAAAGUUACAUGAGCCCUAUUACCUUGACAUUUAAUAAAACUAAAACAAAAUGAUCGAUGGACAUCCAGACAUCAGAAUUUGCCCCUCCGCAAAUGCAAGUGACAUACCCAAUAACAUUUUUAGAUGAGGAGAUGCAAUAUUUCAUCACAAGUGAUGGCAUGCAAAAAAUUGAUAGGUAUUUGGACUAUAUUAUUUUUUUUUCCAAUUCUGGUUGGGAUACCCCAAAAUUAUGAAGGGAAUUGAUCCUACUGGUCCUCACCUCAUCAGCUGAUAAGCAAACCAUUCUUUGUGUUGUUACAAAUUUUAUUAUUGAUGCUGUCAGAUGUCCCUAUGCAAGAAAAUAUGGAGUUUUGGAUUCACACAAAAAUUAAGGUUUUCUUUUUGCAUUCUAGUGAAAUUGGUCUUCUUAUGUGUGAAGUAUGGAAUUAAAAAUCUGAUACAAGAUCCCUUGUCCAUGUGCCUGAGUCCUGCACCCCCCCUCCAACCCACAAAAAAAAAAAGAAA